UACGUAGGGUGCAAGCGUUGUCCGGAAUUAUUGGGCGUAAAGAGCUCGUAGGCGGUUUGUCGCGUCGAAUGUGAAAACCCGGGGCUCAACCCCGGGCCUGCAGUGGGUACGGGCAGACUAGAGUGCGGUAGGGGAGACUGGAAUUCCUGGUGUAGCGGUGAAAUGCGCAGAUAUCAGGAGGAACACCGGUGGCGAAGGCGGGUCUCUGGGCCGUAACUGACGCUGAGGAGCGAAAGCGUGGGGAGCGAACAGG
rnacentral:rRNA from 1 species